AGUGAACGCUGGCGGUAGGCCUAACACAUGCAAGUCGAACGGCAGCACAGUAAGAGCUUGCUCUUACGGGUGGCGAGUGGCGGACGGGUGAGGAAUACAUCGGAAUCUACUUUUUCGUGGGGGAUAACGUAGGGAAACUUACGCUAAUACCGCAUACGACCUACGGGUGAAAGCAGGGGAUCUUCGGGCCUUGCGCGAUUGAAUGAGCCGAUGUCGGAUUAGCUAGUUGGCGGGGUAAAGGCCCACCAAGGCGACGAUCCGUAGCUGGUCUGAGAGGAUGAUCAGCCACACUGGAACUGAGACACGGUCCAGACUCCUACGGGAGGCAGCAGUGGGGAAUAUUGGACAAUGGGCGCAAGCCUGAUCCAGCCAUGCCGCGUGGGUGAAGAAGGCCUUCGGGUUGUAAAGCCCUUUUGUUGGGAAAGAAAAGCAGCAGGUUAAUACCCCGCUGUUCUGACGGUACCCAAAGAAUAAGCACCGGCUAACUUCGUG
rnacentral:rRNA from 1 species